rnacentral:rRNA from 1 species
GACUAACGCUGACGGUAUGCCUUAUACAUGCAAGUCGAACGGUAAGGUCUCUUCGGAGAUACACGAGUGGCGGACGGGUGAGUAACACGUAGGAAUCUGCCCCAGAGUGGGGGACAACUCGGAGAAAUCCGAGCUAAUACCCCAUAUGAUGCAAAUUGAAAGACUUCGGUCGCUUUGGGAGGAGCCUGCGUUUGAUUAGCUUGUUGGUGAGGUAAAAGCUCACCAAGGCGACGAUCAAUAGCUGGUUUGAGAGGAUGAUCAGCCACAAUGGGACUGAGAUACGGCCCAUACUCCUACGGGAGGCAGCAGUAGGGAAUCUUGCGCAAUGGGCGAAAGCCUGACGCAGCAAUACCGUGUGUGGGAAGACGCUCCGUGGAGUGUAAACCACUGUCAGUUGGGACGAAUUUUGACUGUACCAACAGAGGAAGCACCGGCUAACUCCG